rnacentral:tRNA from 2 species
AUGAUUAGCUCAGUUGGUAGAGCGUGCGACUGUUAAUCGCAAGGCCAUGAGUUCGACCCUCAUAU